AAAAGCAAACCCUAAUUAACCAUCGCGAAAGAGAAAGGCAUAAAGUAAUAGAGACCAGCUCCAAUGUGAUUUGGGUGGGCGAUUCAAGAGGCUAAGAGUUUGAAUUGUUACUUGUCUCAACAACUUUUAGAUUUUUCUUUUGUGUAAUCACAAUAUGACCUUAUUGAGUAAUUGAACACAAUGGCAAGAAUCUUCUUUCUAGAUAUACGAUUCGGCAUUGACGAUUGAAGAGGCUAAGAGCUUGAAUGCAAUUCAGACCGCUCUUGAUCAUUUACAAUACCAGCUUGAGGUUUUGCAAGUAAGACUUUUUAUUUUUUUACCAUUUUUUGGUUUUUUAAGUGGGGGCUUUUGUAAUUUUUGCAUAAUGUUCGUCUGUUCUGGUUGUGUUUUGUUUUGUUUCAGAGAAAAUUGAGGGAGAAAGAUGAAAACUUUCAGUUUUAUCACAAGUAAAUUGGCUAAUUGUAUUGGUCAUCGAAAUAUUGCGAACGAGUUGUUCCAUGUACAUAAUUUAAUCAAAUUGUUAUCUGAUAACAAGAUGAUUAUUCAUGGCAAGUUCCUCUCCUUUAAAAUAGGUUAGGCAAAGUAAGUCAUCAUCAUAUGGAAGUUUGCAAUAGACUUUAAAAUGAGCCAUUCUUUGUUUAAUGAAAUAUUUAGUAUAGUAAAAUUUGCUAGAUGAAAAAAAUGAAAAAAAUUAAAAGGGAUAUUAUUGAUUUGCUAAAUUAAUUUAAUGACAUAAUUUCUGUAAAAUUCAAAGUUUGAACUCAGUCAUUUAUAAUUAUUUAUCUUGCUCUUCAUUUUCUUUAAUUCCUUUGUUCUUCAUUUGAGUUUCAUACGCCACAAUGCCUCAUUAGGUUGUUGAACAAGAUGAAUAAUUGGAUAACUAUGCAUGACAGGAUCAAAGAACUUCAAGAAAUUAAUUAUAAAGGCCUGCUAAUUAAAUGCUAGAGUUUUGCAUUGCAUUAGGUGCGUAUCACCAUUUACCAUUACUACUCUCUCCUCCUAAACCAGAGUUUCAUUGUGCCAGAUCAUUUGGUCUUUUCUAGAUUAUUGUGUAAUCACAAUAUGACCUUCAAAUUAAUUUUUUAUGUUAGGAAUUGAGGUUGAAGGCUUCUAGAAUUUUCUUAGAGGGGAUUACAGAUGAUAUGGUUAUCAAUCCUUGGAUUGAGGUGAUGGCUAUUGAAAGACAUGGAUUGAAAAAAAUUAUUUACAGAGCCGAUACAUAAAAAAUAAAAAAAUAAAUAAGACUCCGUUUCCUCAUAGUCACUCUCCUCAUUUGAUCUUUCCUUUUCCAAGUUUUGCUUUAACAAUUGCCAAUAAUGGAAGCAUUCUUUUGCUUUUGCUUUCUAAGCCGCUUAAGAACUUAAUAUUCCCUUUUGGGAAAUUUUUAAGUUGUUUAAAAAAGAAAAUUACAGAUUGGGUGUUUCUUGUGAUAGUACACGUGAUUUGGAUUUGUUCAAUAGACGUGUAAAAUUAUGCAAUCACUAGGGCAAGUCUAGGAUUUUGAUUGAAGUAAUUUUUAUGGAACAAUACUACAAUUUAAUUUUAUAACUUAAAAUGUAAAAGUCGAAGCUAUAUUGAUAUAACUUGUUACAUAUAUAAGGUUACAAUAUGAUGUUUUAAGUCUUUAAGAUCAUAAAUUUAUAUAUGUUUUUAGGCCUAUGUAAAAUAUUAUUGAGGAUCUUAAAUUUUAUGAAUUAAGUUGUAAAUAUAAUGCACCCCCACAUUUUAUAUGGUAGUAGUGAUAUACAUAAUUUGAAACCAUCGCGUGGCUAUAUAUUAGAUAGCUAGAAAAGCUAGACAGUAGCCAAGUAAAGACCUCAAGUUAAGGGAAGAGUCUAUGUACCCUUUAAAUCAUUAUUGGGACAUAUAAUAUAUAACAAAUCAACCGAUCAAUUGUUAUAUUAGACUUCUCAGGAUCUAACCGAUCUCUCUAAGCUUUCUUGAUAUUUUCUCUCACUUCCUUCUUUGCUGAAGCUUUUUCUUUCUUGUUGAAGCCUUGAAACCAUGGCCUAACUAUUAGAGAUAAGGCCAAAUUAUUUCAUGAGUCUCACAAGAAUAAUCUUCCAUCGAAGAAAGUGACAAACAAAGUUGACGCUUAAAAGAAUUUGAAGAAGAAAAUGUAGAGCCCGAAAGCCUACAGGCGUUAAGAGUAUGUUCUCUUUACAUCUCUUUCUUGCUUUUUUUUUUUUCCUAUUAUGUUUCAUGGUUUCUAUUAGUUGUUGCAAUUAUAAUUGCAAUUUUACAAGUAAUUAGAAGCAAUUUCCAAUCCCCAGUUACUUGGCCAAUUAAUUCAAUUAUUUUACCUGUAGUUGUGUCAGUUACAUAUAUGUUUGUGUAAUAAACAGUUUGUGUUGUGCAAUUUAAUAAUCAUUUCCAAUUCAAGUUGUUUUGGUCUCUUAUUUGUUCAGUAGGAACUUAAUUUUCUUCUGCAUUGUUGAGCAAGAUAAAAGUCAAAGAUGUACUAGAACAUUUUCUAAAGUUAGAGUUUUAUUUCAUUUGGCAUGUCAAUAAAUUAGAUGUGUAUAGUAAGCCUUUGAAAUUGGCCAUAUGUUUGGUGAAAUGACUUGCUGAGAUAGUGUAAUAGUAAGAGUCAUCUUUGUCUUAUUGUUUUAUUCUCUUUGGUUGGUUUGUAAUGAGGGUGGUUUCAUUUGUAUUGUUCAGACAACAGGUCUCUUGCAUGCUGAGCAAUUAAGGAUCUGACGGCCGAUGAUCAAUCACCUUGAUAUCUGCGCAUGCCGAUUAGUAGAUUCAGAUUUUGCAUACUGAUUUUGAUUAUGUUAUUCUUUCAGUGAAUGACUUAUUCUUUUCUCUUUUGUUCAAUAUGAUUUUGUUUCUAUAUUUUAAUAGAAAUUAUUAAAAUAUCUAUGUUUAGUUAGACCUUUUUUUUCG
rnacentral:lncRNA from 1 species